UGGAUCCAGACUUUGAUUCUGGCUCAGGAUGAACGCUAGCUACAGGCUUAACACAUGCAAGUCGAGGGGAAACGACAUCGAAAGCUUGCUUUUGAUGGGCGUCGACCGGCGCACGGGUGAGUAACGCGUAUCCAACCUGCCCACCACUUGGGGAUAACCUUGCGAAAGUAAGACUAAUACCCAAUGUUAUCUCUAGAAGACAUCUGAAAGAGAUUAAAGAUUUAUCGGUGAUGGAUGGGGAUGCGUCUGAUUAGCUUGUUGGCGGGGUAACGGCCCACCAAGGCGACGAUCAGUAGGGGUUCUGAGAGGAAGGUCCCCCACAUUGGAACUGAGACACGGUCCAAACUCCUACGGGAGGCAGCAGUGAGGAAUAUUGGUCAAUGGACGAGAGUCUGAACCAGCCAAGUAGCGUGCAGGAUGACGGCCCUAUGGGUUGUAAACUGCUUUUAUAAGGGAAUAAAGUGAGUCUCGUGAGACUUUUUGCAUGUACCUUAUGAAUAAGGACCGGCUAAUUCCGUGCCAGCAGCCGCGGUAAUACGGAAGGUCCGGGCGUUAUCCGGAUUUAUUGGGUUUAAAGGGAGCGUAGGCCGGAGAUUAAGCGUGUUGUGAAAUGUAGACGCUCAACGUCUGCACUGCAGCGCGAACUGGUUUCCUUGAGUACGCACAAAGUGGGCGGAAUUCGUGGUGUAGCGGUGAAAUGCUUAGAUAUCACGAAGAACUCCGAUUGCGAAGGCAGCUCACUGGAGCGCAACUGACGCUGAAGCUCGAAAGUGCGGGUAUCGAACAGGAUUAGAUACCCUGGUAGUCCGCACGGUAAACGAUGGAUGCCCGCUGUUGGUCUGAAUAGGUCAGCGGCCAAGCGAAAGCAUUAAGCAUCCCACCUGGGGAGUACGCCGGCAACGGUGCAAC
rnacentral:rRNA from 1 species